rnacentral:rRNA from 1 species
GUGGGGAAUAUUGGACAAUGGGCGAAAGCCUGAUCCAGCCAUGCCGCGUGUGUGAAGAAGGUCUUCGGAUUGUAAAGCACUUUAAGUUGGGAGGAAGGGCAGUAAGUUAAUACCUUGCUGUUUUGACGUUACCAACAGAAUAAGCACCGGCUAACUUCGUGCCAGCAGCCGCGGUAAUACGAAGGGUGCAAGCGUUAAUCGGAAUUACUGGGCGUAAAGCGCGCGUAGGUGGUUCAGCAAGUUGAAGGUGAAAUCCCCGGGCUCAACCUGGGAACUGCCUCCAAAACUACUGAGCUAGAGUACGGUAGAGGGUAGUGGAAUUUCCUGUGUAGCGGUGAAAUGCGUAGAUGUAGGAAGGAACACCAGUGGCGAAGGCGACUACCUGGACUGAUACUGACACUGAGGUGCGAAAGCGUGGGGAGCAAACAGGAUUAGAUACCCGAGUAGUCC